rnacentral:tRNA from 3 species
GGGGGUGUAGCUCAAUCGGCUAGAGCGCUUCCCUGUCACGGAAGAGGCUGCGGGUUCGAGUCCCGUCGCUCCCGCCC